rfam:Flavobacterium sp. FPG59 Contig_139, whole genome shotgun sequence.
UCCUAGCCCUGAUAGUAGUGGAAAUCCUUUGCUGCCGGGGUUCGGCAGGAAAGAUUGCAACGGAUAGCAGGAUAAGCU